rnacentral:rRNA from 1 species
GAUGAACGCUGGCGGCGUGCCUAAUACAUGCAAGUCGAGCGAACGGACGAGAAGCUUGCUUCUCUGAUGUUAGCGGCGGACGGGUGAGUAACACGUGGAUAACCUACCUAUAAGACUGGGAUAACUUCGGGAAACCGGAGCUAAUACCGGAUAAUAUUUUGAACCGCAUGGUUCAAAAGUGAAAGACGGUCUUGCUGUCACUUAUAGAUGGAUCCCGCUGCAUUAGCUAGUUGGUAAGGUAACGGCUUACCAAGGCAACGAUGCAUAGCCGACCUGAGAGGGUGAUCGGCCACACUGGAACUGAGACACGGUCCAGACUCCUACGGGAGGCAGCAGUAGGGAAUCUUCCGCAAUGGGCGAAAGCCUGACGGAGCAACGCCGCGUGAGUGAUGAAGGUCUUCGGAUCGUAAAACUCUGUUAUUAGGGAAGAACAUAUGUGUAAGUAACUGUGCACAUCUUGACGGUACCUAAUCAGAAAGCCACGGCUAACUACGUG